rnacentral:rRNA from 1 species
UACGUAGGGUCCGAGCGUUGUCCGGAAUUACUGGGCGUAAAGAGCUCGUAGGUGGUUUGUCGCGUUGUUCGUGAAAACUCACAGCUCAACUGUGGACGUGCGGGCGAUACGGGCAGACUAGAGUACUGCAGGGGAGACUGGAAUUCCUGGUGUAGCGGUGGAAUGCGCAGAUAUCAGGAGGAACACCGGUGGCGAAGGCGGGUCUCUGGGCAGUAACUGACGCUGAGGAGCGAAAGCGUGGGGAGCGAACAGG